UGGGGAAUAUUGCGCAAUGGGCGGAAGCCUGACGCAGCGACGCCGCGUGGGGGAUGACGGCCUUCGGGUUGUAAACCUCUUUCAGCACCGACGAAGCCUUUCGGGGUGACGGUAGGUGCAGAAGAAGCGCCGGCUAACUACGUGCCAGCAGCCGCGGUAAUACGUAGGGCGCAAGCGUUGUCCGGAAUUAUUGGGCGUAAAGAGCUCGUAGGCGGUUUGUCGCGUCUGUCGUGAAAGCCCACGGCUUAACCGUGGGUCUGCGGUGGAUACGGGCAGGCUAGAGGCAGGUAGGGGGAGAACGGAAUCCCCGGUGUAGCGGUGAAAUGCGCAGAUAUCGGGAGGAACACCGGUGGCGAAGGCGGUUCUCUGGGCCUGUACUGACGCUGAGGAGCGAAAGCGUGGGGAGCGAACAGGAUUAGAUACCCUGGUAGUCCACGCCGUAAACGUUGGGCGCUAGGUGUGGGGUCCUUCCACGGAUUCCGCGCCGCAGCUAACGCA
rnacentral:rRNA from 1 species